GAUGAACGCUGGCGGUAUGCUUAACACAUGCAAGUCGAACGGACUCUUCGGAGUUAGUGGCGGACGGGUGAGUAACGCGUGAGAAUCUGGCUUUGGGUUCGGGACAACCACUGGAAACGGUGGCUAAUACCGGAUGUGCCGAGAGGUAAAAGAGAAAUUGCCUGAAGAUGAGCGCGCGUCUGAUUAGCUAGUUGGUGAGGUAAAGGCUCACCAAGGCAGCGAUCAGUAGCUGGUCUGAGAGGAUGACCAGCCACACUGGGACUGAGACACGGCCCAGACUCCUACGGGAGGCAGCAGUGAGGAAUUUUCCGCAAUGGGCGAAAGCCUGACGGAGCAGUACCGCGUGAGGGAAGAAGGCUCUGGGGAUGUAAAGCUCUUUUCUUAGGGAAGAACAAAAUGACGGUACCUAAGGAAUCAGCAUCGGCUAACUCCGUG
rnacentral:rRNA from 1 species